ensembl:processed_transcript BC006965 cDNA sequence BC006965
AGGCUCAUUCAAUGUCUGGAGCACGCGUCGGCCACUCCACCUCGGGCGCUCUGAAGCCGGCCGCAUGGAGACUGGGGGACGGUGGUAGGAUGGUCCUAGACCCCUUCCCUCUGUUUCUGCAACCUUGGUGAAUUGAAAAGGGAUCAAUAUCCUUUAUCAGCUCUACCAUACCAGAUGGCCAAGGGACAGUGGAAAAAUGGCAGGGCAGACCCCCUUGGAUUUGCCCACGUGGAGUUUGGAUAUUUACCUGGCUUCUUUGUCAAGUCUUGGGCCUGAUGCAGGUUGCAGACGUAUGGCCACCGGUUCAUGUAGUCAACAGGUCAGGGGGGCUGUUGCCACCGAAGGAAGGGGGAUAGUGCUGACAAGACUGAUGGUAAUGAUGACAUCUAACGUACAUGGAGCAGCUCUAUCUGCCAGACACUAAGGGCUCUUGGAGGGGACCAACUUAGACAUCUCAGCAUCUUCCUGUAUCUCUGAGUUGUUCCGGUCUACCAGUUCCCACUAAGCUAUUCCUCCAAAGAUGGUCUGAAGAACUGAGAGCCCCCAGAAGAGUCAAACCCAAAGCGAAUCAUAGCAACAUCACCUUUACUUUGUAUUCCCUGUGCUAUCUCGAUGCUGACUUGCCUCUCUUCUUGUUUACCAAAUCCUAGUGGGUUUUAUGUGGAGGAGGCAGAACCUGGGGCCAGGAGACUGUCGGAGGUGGAGGAAAUUUGCAAAAUUCCUGUUUCAGUCUUUAAUUUUUCAUUCAUUUUUUGCAAAUUUUCUGCUAAACAACCUCUCAUAUAUAUUGACCCAUUGACUAUCUCAUUGAGUCAUUUGGCCAUGUAUUCAUGACAUGCUUCAAGUAGAAUCAGAGGGAACACUAUUCUUACAAGGUG